AUUAUUAGGAACACUCUGAAGAAAAAGAAGAAAAAGGAAAAGCAUUCAAAAAGAGUGAAGAAAGAGAAAAAAAAAGAAGAGCAAGAAGCAGAAACGUGAAGAAAAGAGUGAGUCAACUGACCAUUCCUCAGUGAGUAAGCCCUGCAACGGAGCCCUGCACCUGUGCAGAGCAGUGGACUGGAAGGAAAAAUGUUGCAAUAGAAAAUGUUUACAAGGCAUCCAUGUGGAGUUCCUGGCAAUGUAGAUUGUUGGUUUUAGAAAAUGGGAUGUCAUUGUUGAUCUUUGUUGCUUGGAGAUGUAACAGUAAUGAACUGUACAGGGAAACUGAAAGGUGCACACCAAUACUGAAGUACCACAUGGGAAGGAGAGAGAACUACUUGUAUAAAAGUGGUUGGAAAUUAGAAAUCAAAGCAGCAAAGAAUUGUGUUAGAAAAAUAAGGGAGCAGAGUUUUAAAACACUGGGGUCUAUUUUUCUUUGGUAUUUCUGUUUUCUUCAUAGAAAGUAACAUCUAAGUCUUCAAAGUAGAAUUUAUUUAUUUAUCUUUUCGACCAAAAAGAAGAGAGUUUUGAGUAAUCAGUUCUACUCAGUGAGGACACAGAAAAAAGCAAGCCAGCCAAAUCUGUCAUAACUUAUUUUCAAGACAAAAGGGGUUAGUGUAGACAGUGAUGGCAAAGAAAUGUUUAGGGACGAUUAUUUCUCCAGACAAAAUUGGGUUUUAUUAGCAGGAAGGAAGAGAGAUUACAUAGUCUUAGUGACAGGAAACCAUGCAAGAUAAGUGCUAUGAUCAGGUUUCCCUGUAGUGCUCCAAAUAUGUGGUGGAUAGAGACUGGAGAAGGAAGGGGAGAAGGGAAAAUGGGGGUCCUAGAGCUGUAUUUGGUGAUUCAGUUGUGAAGGUGACAAUAAGAUCUGAUUUAAGACUCCUGUUUUAAAGAUGGAAAGGGGAUAUGUGUUAGUUGAAAUUCUUUGUUGCACGUUAUAGAAACUAAACAAUUUAGUGAACUUGAAGAAGUUGGAAGGACGUAUUAAUCAGGCAUAAAUAUUCAGGUAGGACAUUUAAAUAUAGGAGUAAGCUUAAUCCCAGUAACAGAUGGAAUUGGAGUUGUAAGCGCUUUAUAAUCCUAACUGGUCCAUUUUUUUUUUUAAUUCCACUUUUCAACACAUAGAUCCUGACAAUGUCUUUCCAGUUCUCUUUGCUUUUACAUCAGCCCAUUUGACUUCAUUGUCAAAUUCAUUGACAAAUAACUGUUUUGACUAGAACUGUUGGGGCUAGGGCUGAGGUAUGCUCACAGGGCAGUGAUGUAGUGUUUGCUACAUGGAAUAUUUGACUAGUGUUUUGGAGUUGAAAAUCAGCUUGGAUGGGUGGGCAAGAUGAUUCUGUAAUUCCUGACUUGAUGAUGCCAGGUAACCCAGUUUAGUAAUUCAGUAGGCGAAACGGGCUUUGUGGAAAUGAAGGAUUUAUUGUUCUUGAGUUUAGCAUAACACUCAAGAUGGUGAUUAAGUCACUAAAGCUUUGGUUGUACAAAUAAAUAAAGGAAGAAGAAAAACGGGAAUUAAAACCAUGAAAAUGAAUAUAAUGGGGGCAAAAGAGUGUGUAGAGAAUAAAAAUUAUAUUAGUGAGAAGGUGGAACCUCAGGAGGGCUUGGAAAAUCUGAAUAAAGGAUGGAGAAUAUAGGAAGAAAAUAAAGAGUAAACAUUGAGGGUUGAACUGAAGAACAUCUUGAAAAUUUUGAAUGUGAGUCAUCAACAGUUGAAGUUCUGGAGAUAAAGACUGGAAUAUUUUGUUGAGCUUGGAGAUGUUGCAGCCAUUUAUGAAGUUUGAAGAAUUGUCACUAGAUUAAUGUGUAUGAUAGUUAUGAGCUUAGAGAACUGUUUGAUUGGGCAAUUCCUUUUUCAGUAACAUUGUCCUAGAAAAGGGGCUGGAGGACGAAUCGCUGCUCUAAUCAUACAUAAGGCGAGGAAAUGCCCCAUCCGAAAAGAAAGGGAUUCGAAAUGCUGAAGCUCACACAUCUCUAGGCCAUCAGGGCCCUUCCUUUGAAGCAACUCAGAAAGAAAGACUGAGACCAAAAUCCUUGGAGGAGGACCUUCCAGCAGCAGGAGCAUUGACAGGAGGAUCGAUCUAGCACAACUGUCAGUAACUUUGCCAGGGGUUGGGGGAGAGAUAGAAAGCGAAAGUGACCUCUUUUUGGUAAGGUAAGAUGAGAGAUCAUUUGUCCUGCGUAUAGGAAAUGUUAAUUGUUAAAAAAAAAAAGAAAAAAGAAAAAGAAAAAUCUCCAGGAGGAUAUGAAGAAGGUAACAGUGGUCUGGUUAUUAGAGUGGGUCCAAAGUUGGCAAAAGUGACUGUGGUUUCUGUGGUCAUAGAACUUACUACCUAAACCAAUUAAGGAUCAGUAAGGUGAACUCUAGUUUCAUUAGUGUCUAGUUAACUGAAAUUGCAGGAGGUGAUGGCUUCUGUACUAGUUGGAACGGGGUGAUAAAGUUCCCAGUGGCUCAAACUAAUGAGGUCAAGUCACUAGUCACAUAGAGAAAAUUCUCACUAUAGAAUUCCUGUAACAGGACACACCAGAACUACUGGUUUGCUACUUCAUUGUAGCAAAAUGGCCCUCUUUCUCCCCAACUCCCCAAAAGUGCCAAUUAUUUCAGGCUGUAAAUCCCGAUUUUAGUGCAUGGCAUCAAGAACUGCGAUUGAGGCACUAAAGUGACUUGACAAUAUAAACUUGAGUUAGGCUAAACUGUGUGUGUGUGUGUGUGUAUCUACUUUAUAUAUAUAAUGAUUAUUUUAUAUCUAUAUAUGAAAUGAUUAUUUUUAAAAAUGUGUAAAUAUUUUUAUUUUAGUCAUAUGUAAAUAUGAACAAGUUAUGGCCUUUCAAUACAAAAUGAGGCAUGAAUGAGUAAAUAGAAUCUGCUUUAGGAAACAGUUGGCAGUUAAUAUGACAGAACAUAAGUAUGUUUUACAUAUUUCUUAUAUCACAGAUAUACUUGUGGCUAGAGCCACAUCAGUAGAGCAUUUGCUCCUUUUUCAGAGUACUGAAGUCCAGUAGUUCUUAGCCCCCACAUUGGGUGGUUCACAACAGCCAACUGUAGUUCCAGCUCCAGGAUAUCUAGACCAUGUGCUGCGUGCACGCACACACACGCACACGCACACACACACACACACACACACACACACAAAUUGUCUUAGGAUUUCUACCGCUGCGAUUAAUACCAUGACCAAAGAGCAAGUUGGGAAGAAAGCAUUUAUUAGGCUUAUAGUUCAGCAUUGCUUUUCAACACUGAAGGAAUUCGGACAGGAGCGCAAAACAGAGCUGGAUCGUGGAAGCAGGAGCUAAUGCAGAGGCCAUAGAAGGAAGCUGCUCACUGACUGGCUUUCCUUGGCUUGCUCAGCUCAUCUUUUUAUAGAAUCCAGGAUCAGCAGCUCAGGGAUGCCACCACCCACCAUGGGCUGGGACCUCUCCUAUUGAUCACUAAAUGAAAAAGUGCCUUACAGCUGGAUCUCAAAAAGGCAUUUCCUCGGCUGAGGCUCCUCCCUCUGAUGAUUCUAGAACACAAACCACACAAAAACCACCCAGUACAACUGACCCCUUGUCAACUUGACAUCACUACUAAACCCCAACUCUUCCUUUAUUAUUCAUCCCCAAGAUCUCACAUUAAGAACAUAAAAGUUCCACUGUCUUUACAAAUUCAAACACAUUAAAAUUUUAGUAACCAAUCUUAAAAUCCAAGGUUUUUCAAAAUUCAAAGUCUCUCAACUGUGGACUCCUGUAAAAUAAUGUUUUUACUUUAAGAGGGAGAAAUCAGGAUUCCUCAUAGGAAUCACUAUCAAAGCAAAACAAAAUUUCAACUGUUCAAUAUUUGGGAUCCACUCAUGAUCUUCUGAACUCUUCCAAAGGUCUUGAAUCACUUCUCUAGCUCUGCCUUCUGCAAGACACACAACUUGUCUUCUGUUCACUGACUGGCUCUACUCCGUUGCUUCUGCUGUUCCUCAUGGCAAAGCUCUUAACCACUGAGCCAUCUCUCCAGACCCAGCAUUUUCCUCUUUUAAUGGAUUUACCAAAUACUAGAAGUCUGUGAAUCUUCUGGAUGUGUCAGUUUCAGCUUUUCUUUCUCUUCCCUUUAUGUUGCAAUUUGCUUAGUAAUGCUUAUAGUUGAAUAGCAAGUAAAUUUUGAGUUCUGGUUCAUAUGACUAAGAAUGAAUAUAAUUUACCCACUUAGCCAUAGAUACAGGAGGAAAAGUGAACAGGAGCUAACAUUUCAUUUUGUAUGCCAGACCCUAUGUUGGCUGCCAUUUAUAUAUAUUUUAUUUACUCCUUAAAAUAAACUUGAAUGCUGAGUUCUUUACCGCACUUUUAUAAGGGAGAGACUAAGGUAUAGCAAAAAACAAGAAGCUUCUUGAGAGUGGCUAACCACUUAUUUUGGUUCCUAUUUAGUGCCUUCAGUCUCUGAUAUUAAGAAGGUCGUAAGUACAGAUUAAAAUGGCUUCAUUCUUUUAAACAGCGGGAUGAGUGGAUGACUGUUGAUUUUAUGUCUGUUAAAAGUGUGUCUUCAUCAUCACUCAAAGCAAAAAAGGAAACCCUAAGGAAAAUAGAGCAGGGGAAAGCCCAAGCACUAGAGCAGUCCAAACUGCUAGAAAGGGAAUUGAAUCCGUACUGGAAGGAUGGUGGGACGGGUCUUACAUCAGAAAAUGUAUACUGGCGGUUACUAAAGGUAUCUUUAUAUUUUUUGUAGACUUGUGCGCAUAUCUCAAUUUCUAAUAAUGAGCGUGGUAAAGAUCAUUUGAGUAUUUUAUGUACUUGUGUGAAAAUGUCAUAAUGAAACCCACUAUUUUGUGCAGGUAAUAUAUACUAAUCAAAGAGUACAAAUUCUUAAAGUUUAAUGUUUCUAAGAGAAUGGCUUGAGUUUAUUUAUAACAAAAUAUUUAUGAAAUAUAUGCAGUCUUUUAAAAUAUUACUUAAGUUAUUAUGGAAAGUUUACUAUUACGUAUUUUGCAGCAAGAUAAUUCAGUAUAUAUUGUUCAUAAUAGCCAUCAUUUGCAAGUUUCUCUUUUAAAUGGGCUAAGACAAAGCAUGGUUAUAUGAAACUUUAUAUUGCAUUCAAUUUAUUAAAUUUUAUAGCAAAAUACAAAAAUGUAUUUAGUUAAAAUUUAUGCAAAUAAUGUAUAAACAUUAAUGAUUCAAUUUUAUUGCUUUUAGAAAUACCUCAUUUGUCAGGAUUCACAAAAUUUUUGUUGUGCUUAGGAGGAGAGUGCUAUUGUUUUCUACUCAACGGAGACAAAAUCUUUUGAGUAUCACUAGUGCUCAGUAUUGCCAAUUCAGUGAUAAGUUCAAAUGCAAUUUAACCAGAAUAAAGUAAUAUUAUAAAUAA